rnacentral:rRNA from 1 species
GCAAGUCGAACGGGAUUGUUUAGUUAGCUUGCUAAUUAAACAUGAGAGUGGCGAACGGGUGCGUAACACGUAAAGAACCUACCCUUAUGUAGGGGAUAGCUCACCGAAAGGUGAAUUAAUACCGCAUGUGAACUUUUUCCGCAUGGAGAGAGGAUUAAAGCUGGGGACCUUCGGGCCUGGCGCAUAGGGAGGGCUUUGCGGCCUAUCAGCUUGUUGGUGAGGUAACGGCUCACCAAGGCUAAGACGGGUAGCUGGUCUGAGAGGAUGGCC